CAUAUGUAUAUGUGUACACAUACAUGUGUAUGUGUGUAUAUAUGUGUGUGUGUAUGUGUAUGUGUUUGUGUUGGGGGGGUAGGGGAUCGGAAAUUAGAGUAAUUCUUACCUGUCAGUGCCAGCAGAAAUCCUCCCGGGUAGACAUGGAAAAGCACUUUGUUUGAAGUAGGAAGGUUUCAUAGACAUAGCAGAAGCCAUCUAGUUGCGCUCACCUAUCCCAUGCACAGGUUUGGGCUUUGGUGUUCUUCACGUCUCUGAUCAAUUCUAUGCAACUCUCAUAGUCCUGUCAUCUUUUAGCACUAGCUGCCAGAACUGACUUUACAAGGCUGGACUGGGCGACAUGGCUGUGAGACUGGAUUAAUCAUAACGUGGACAAAUCUUAUUUUGCUUAAUGUGUCAUGUGUACAUACAUAUAAAUAUAAAUAUAAAUAUAAAUACCUUCCCCCAAUACAAAGUUGACAGUGUUGAACUCCCAGACUCGGGCUGCUGAGCCGCACCGCUUCCUCCUGCGGUCACUUGGGCACUUACCUUCACCCCUGCCUUCACUCCCUCACUUAAGGGUUCCUAGUGUGCACACAUGAGGAGGGCUGAGCUGAGCUGAGCUGAGGUGAGCUGUG